GACGAAGGGGGCUAGCGUUGUUCGGAAUUACUGGGCGUAAAGCGCGUGUAGGCGGUUGUCCAAGUCGGGCGUGAAAGCCUUGAGCUCAACUCAAGAAAUGCGCUCGAUACUGGGCGACUAGAGGACCGGAGAGGAUAGUGGAAUUCCCAGUGUAGUGGUGAAAUACGUAGAGAUUGGGAAGAACACCAGUGGCGAAGGCGGCUAUCUGGACGGUUACUGACGCUAAGACGCGAAAGCGUGGGGAG
rnacentral:rRNA from 1 species